UACGUAGGGUGCAAGCGUUAAUCGGAAUUACUGGGCGUAAAGCGUGCGCAGGCGGUCUUGCAAGACAGAUGUGAAAUCCCCGGGCUCAACCUGGGAACUGCAUUUGUGACUGCAAGGCUGGAGUGCGGCAGAGGGGGAUGGAAUUCCACGUGUAGCAGUGAAAUGCGUAGAUAUGUGGAGGAACACCGAUGGCGAAGGCAGCCCCCUGGGAUGUGACUGACGCUCAUGUACGAAAGCGUGGGGAGCAAACAGG
rnacentral:rRNA from 1 species